GGAAGAUUGGCUGAGUGGUUGAAAGCGGCGGUCUUGAAAACCGUUGAACCGAGAGGUUCCGUGGGUUCGAAUCCUACAUCUUCCGCCA
rnacentral:tRNA from 1 species